AGCAUUCUAAGUCUCCUACCCUCUCUUUUUAUAAAAGCACAAGAGUAUAACUUUAUAUGAUGCAUUAGGUGAUAGGAGUUGAAUGAAACCGUUGGUGCAUAUAUUCCUACCUUGUCCACUAUACGAAACUACCUGAACCCUUACUAGUAUAAGGAAGACGUUCUAUGCUUAGCUAUGCUUAGCUCGGUAGAAGCCAGGUGAUUUCCUGUCACCUGCGAGAGAUAGGUGGAUACCUGAUCACGGUUGGCUAUAUUUGCUAUCGUGGAAAUAACCAUGUGCUAAUAAUGAAUUUGA
rnacentral:lncRNA from 1 species